ACUCCUACGGGAGGCAGCAGUGGAGAUUGAAUUGGNGCAAGCGACUGAACCAGCCAUCCCGCGUGUAGGAAGACGGCCUUAUGGGUUGUAAACUACUUUUAUACAGGAAGAAACGUACCCUCGUGAGGGUGCCUGACGGUACUGUAGGAAUAAGCACCGGCUAACUCCGUGCCAGCAGCCGCGGUAAUACGGAGGGUGCGAGCGUUAUCCGGAUUUAUUGGGUUUAAAGGGUCCGUAGGCGGAUUAAUAAGUCAGUGGUGAAAUCCCAUCGCUUAACGAUGGAACUGCCAUUGAUACUGUUAGUCUUGAAUGAGGGUGCAGUGGUUGGAAUGUGUAGUGUAGCGGUGAAAUGCAUAGAUAUUACACAGAACACCGAUUGCGAAGGCAGAUCACUAACCCUAAAUUGACGCUGAGGGACGAAAGCGUGGGGGAGCGAACAGGAUUAGAUACCCUGUAGGUGACAAU
rnacentral:rRNA from 1 species